rnacentral:rRNA from 1 species
GUACACGCUGUGACUAGCAUAUCAAUAAGCGGAGGAAAAGAAACUAACAAGGAUUCCCCUAGUAACGGCGAGUGAAGCGGGAAGAGCUCAAAUUUGAAAUCUUAAAGGGUUUCCCUUUACGAAUUGUAGUUUAAAGAAGUGUUUUCUGUUGAGGUUUUGGUAAAAGUUCUUUGGAAUAGGACAUCAUAGAGGGUGAGAAUCCCGUAUUUGACCUUUACCUUCAACUUUGUGAUACACUUUCAAAGAGUCGGAUUGUUUGGGAAUGCAGUCCAAAAUAGGGUGGUAAAUUUCAUCUAAAGCUAAAUAUUGGCGAGAGACCGAUAGCGAACAAGUACCGUGAGGGAAAGAUGAAAAGAACUUUGAAAAGAGAGUUAAACAGUACGUGAAAUUGUCAAAAGGGAAGCGUUUGACACCAGUGUUGUUUUUCUGAAAAUCAAUUAAAGAACUGUUUAUGCUAAGUUGUUUAGACUUUAUCAGCUAUCUGUUUAGUUUUGAGCUUUUCUUUAAUGCACUUUUCAGUUAACAAGUCAACAUCAAUUUCUUUUGCUGUAAAAAAGCUUGAGGAAGGUGGCUUGAGAUUCGUCUUAAGUGUUUAUAGCCUCUUGCCUAUGUAGUCGGAGAGAUUGAGGUCUGCAGCGUAGAUCCUUCGGGGCUAAAUGCAUUUGUGCUAAGUUAUAGCAUUUUAUAGACAACUUGUUGACUAUGAUUUGUCUUGUAGCUUACUCGCUUAUGUUAUUUUACCUACGCUUAGGAUGUUGACGCGCGUGUGUGCGUG